rnacentral:rRNA from 1 species
UAGGCUGAAACUACGCCUACAUGAAGCUGGAGUUACUAGUAAUCGCAGAUCAGAAUGCUGCGGUGAAUGCGUUCCCGGGUCUUGUACACACCGCCCGUCACACCACGGAAGUUGGGGGCGCCCGAAGCCACUUAGCUAACCCUUUUGGGAAGCGAGUGUCGAAGGUGAAAUCAAUAACUGGGGUGAAGUCGUAACAAGGUAAC